rnacentral:lncRNA from 1 species
AAUAACUUGUCCUUUUUUUUUUUUUUUUUUUUUUUUUUUUUUUUUUUUUUUUUUUUUUUUUUUUUUUUUUUUUUUUUUUUUUUUUUUUUUUAGAUUUUUAUUAAAUUCGUAAUUGGCGCAUUUUAGGAUUUGAGGAAUUUUUUCAACAUCUCUAACCUUUUUUUCAUCUGUCAAAUGAACGUUUUAUAUGAUUACUCAAAAUU